CCGUCCCCAGCCUCUGCACUGAGCCUCUGCAGCAGGCAGGAAGUCCUGAACAGCCCGGCCUCGGGAACUGGGCGAGGGGUGGGUUCCUUGAGCCUAGAAAGCGAGGAACACCCAGCUGGAGCUCUCUGGAGCGUAGACCAUCCUCCUCAGGUUCAAGGUUUGUCUCCCCAGUACCCAGCACGGACCCUAGCCCAAGACGCUAGCUGCGUGACCCUUGGACAAGUCAGUCUGCCUGUGCCUAGUUUCUUCAUUUGUAAAACGGAGAUCAUUCUACUUAUUUCCUACUUCACAGGGUUGUUGUGAGGAUCAAAUAAGAUAAGCUAUUUAAGGCACUUCUCAAAACUUAAAGCAGUAUAUGUUCGCUAUCAUUAUUGGACUCCGGAGGGGGAAUGGUGGUAGAUCGUCGUGUACCAGAAGUCAAGAGAUUUUCAUUUUUCACUCAAUCCCCAAGGACCUAGAACAUAUUUCUUCUCAGGGAAGAAGAAGGACUUCUUUCUAGACUGCAUGACAUUGAGUCACAUACUGUCCCAUGUGUAGAAGAUCAGCUGAAAUAUCUUGAUUGAUGAGAGAUUGAGCCCAAACCUCCUUAGCCCACCACAUCUAGUGAGCUCCAGACCAGGCUUUACAUCCUAUCCAGCUGUCUGCCUAGGCCAUCUUGCCACAUGUCCUGCUGCAGCCCUGGUUCUGAAAUGGCAUCCUCUGGAAGAAGUUAUCAAAUCCAGCCAUCAUUUUCUAGGUCUGAGUUAGCUGGAACAGAUGUUCCCUGUGGGAAGUGCUCUUGCAACUGGUUGUGUCUGCCGGGAGCUGUGGAAAUGGUCAGCACAGAAGCCAGGGAAAAGGACAUGGAUGGAACAAAUAAAUACAUACUGAGCUGCUUGCUGCGUCCAGCUGAGACCUUCCCCUUUCUCUGAGAGUGGUGCCCAUGGCAAAUGCCUUAGACACAAGGUAUCAAGACACUAUUUGUGACCUUCCUCACCUCCUUCCCCAUUCCCUGAUGGCCUUGGACAUUUCCAGCAUCUUUACUUAAAGGUGUUUCUCAACAUAGUGAACCAAGAGAUGUCUCUUGAGGACUACAAUAAGAAGACUAAUGGAUGUCUCAAAUUGUUACAAGAACAAUUGAAAGAUCUUAUUUAAGCCAUAUGAAGAGUCUGAAAAUGAUCUGAAGGCCUUACAAAAUGUUGGGCGGAUUGUGGGUGAAUUGCUGAAACAAAUAAUGGAAGAAAAAUUCAUUGUUAAAGCAACAAAUGGACCAAGACAUGUUGUGAGUUGUUAGUAUCAUCUUGACAAAAGUAAUCUGAAGCCACGGACAAGAAUUGCUUUGAAUAUGACUACACUUACUCUCAUGAGAUAUUUGUAAAAAAAAAAAAAAAAAUAUAUAUAUAUAUAUAUAU